rnacentral:rRNA from 1 species
UACGGAGGGUGCGAGCGUUGUUCGGAAUUAUUGGGCGUAAAGCGCGCGUAGGCGGCUCGUUAAGUCUCGCUGUGAAAGCCCGGGGCUCAACCCCGCGGACUGCAGGGGAUACUGGCGAACUGGAGACAGGUAGAGGCUAACGGAAUUCCGGGUGUAGCGGUGGAAUGCGUAGAGAUCCGGAAGAACACCAGAGGCGAAGGCGGUUAGCUGGACCUGGUCUGACGCUGAGGCGCGAAAGCGUGGGGAGCGAACAGG